GCCCGAGUUUGAUCCUGGCUCAGGAUGAACGCUGGCGGCGGGCUUAACACAUGCAAGUCGAAGGAGAAGGAAGGAGCUUGCUCUUUCUGGAGACUGGCGCACGGGUGAGUAACGCGUAGACAACCUGCCUAUAGCUGGGGGAUAACAUCUCGAAAGAGAUGCUAAUACCGCAUAAUGCAGCGGGGCCGCAUGGUCACAGUUGUUAAAGCUUUCGGGCGGCUAUAGAUGGGUCUGCGUGCCAUUAGUUAGUUGGUAGGGUAAUGGCCUACCAAGGCGAUGAUGGCUAGGGGGUCUGAGAGGAUGAUCCCCCACACUGGGACUGAGACACGGCCCAGACUCCUACGGGAGGCAGCAGUGGGGAAUAUUGGACAAUGGGCGAGAGCCUGAU
rnacentral:rRNA from 1 species